ensembl:lncRNA
CUUCACUUGGGAUCAGACUCACCUCCGCUCGAGCAGCGGACGCUCCGAGGUGGCGGCGAACACGGAGGGAGUCCUGCUCACUGCGGCUCGUCGGGAUCACCGGGAGGACGCCGCCGUUCCCUUCAUGUGACAUUUAAAUCGCCGGCACAAAGUCAGGGGUGAGACGGAAACCACAGAAGAAGAAAGCCGGGACCUAUUUUUAGCAGCAGCCGCUCUGCUCGGGCCAAAUAUGAGAAUAGAGGCUCCUGGCGAGCAGCGCGGCAGCAAGUGCUCGUCAUGCGGCGAGGGGGCGGAGCCAUCCCUGUUUCAUUGAACUUUGAUGAAAAGGGCUCUUGCACUGCACUCUGAUUCUCAAGGUUUCUGAGUUAAUGGAUCGUAAAUCCUCACAAAGAAACUAGUGGAGCUUUUAUUCCUUCAACGGAGAGCUACAUGGACGACAUUUGUUUUAUCCAUGUCUUGGAGAAUAGACAUCAAGAGGAUUGAUGCUAAAACCUGUUGACGUUUAAUGACCUUCAAAUAACAUUCUGACCCAAGCUUUUAGUUUUAAUGCCUUUUAGCACGUGUUGGCUCUGGAUUGAGUGAAGAACAGAGGUCUCUUUGCCUCUUCUUUCCUUUAAACAAACCAACUUCUCUCCUUCCUCUAUAAACAUUUGAAAACCGUUUUCUUUCUUAAUCGCGUGACUCCUGCGUUGUUCAGAUUCACUCUUGUUCUCCUUUGCCUCCUUGUGCUUUAACGCGUAACCACGGCAACGGGAGAAAGUAACGUAACUAAAGUGGACGCUGAACUGAACCUCCUCGGGUCUGAACUAAACCAAAAGCUGUCUUCAUGUGGCCGAGCAGCCUGGCGAAGAUCAGAAGAGGAGACACAGAACCAAGACACAGAACGCCGGGACAGUUUCCUUGGCUCUUUACGCCACACAAUCCUUCCCCGUCCUUAUCGGUCCUCAUCAGCCCCCUCGGCCCGUCCAUCCGUCCACCUCAAUGACAAUCAAAGGUCAGACGUUUACUCCCUUUGGUUUAUCUUCCCCCAGCUGCCUCUAUUUGUCCUCAUGAAGGAGCUGAUGUGGCUCUGAGACGCUGCGCUCUGGUACAGUGGGGACCGGUUUUAGCUUGAGAGUGAGACUUUUUUUUUCUGGUCUGCACGUCUUGUUUAAACUCUUUCUGUGUUGAUGUAGGGAGAAAGACAUAAUUAUGGGACGUCUGUCUCUUCCUCAGGCCUCUGGGGCUCAGCGGAGAGCCACAAAGUCGUCUUCUGACCACUUGAAGUGCUUCAAAAUCAUGACGUCAUUCACCCAUUCAUCAGGACUAACACUAUCACAACUUCCCGAGGCCACGAAGGACACGUGGGUCAGAUGAGCCGGGGAUCGAACCACCGGCUCUAGUCACAAUUUAGCGCUGAUUUUCCACUAGACUCGUUACUUUAUGGUCUGUUUGACUCUAAAUGAACACAAAUUCACCAAAACAACAUCAUGAUGUGUUGAAAAGACUUGAAACUAGAGACUGAGACCAUAAACUCAUGUUUACAAUGUUUACUGAGGGAAUAAAUCAAGAGAGAAGUAGAGUCAUUGUCUCAUAGACGUCUAUGGGAGCAGAGGAGUCGCCCCCUGCUGGUCACUACAGA